rnacentral:rRNA from 1 species
AUGAAGACUCCCAUUGAAGUUCUCCUUAAUGAACAACCGGACUACACCUUUCUCAAGGUGUUUGGGUGUGCUUGCUGGCCCCAUCUCCGUCCAUAUAACAAGCGUAAGCUCGAGUUUCGUUCCAAGAAGUGUGUUUUUCUUGGUUAUAGCUCUCUUCAUAAAGGAUACAAAUGUCUUCAUGUGCCCACUAAUCGUGUCUACAUCUCUCGGGAUGUUGUGUUUGAUGAGCAUGUUUUUCCCUUUGCCAAACUCCCUGUGUCCACUACCGAGCCACCUGUCAUGCAUUCAUCCUCUGUUGCUUCUGACCAAUUUGAUGAUGUUGCAUAUUCUCCUCUAUUGUUGCCUAACCAUGGUGCAGGCACUGGUCGUGGGGCUCGUUUGGAGAUUCUGGAAGUGCCAUCUUCCUCUUCGUCGCCAUCGCCUUCAUCCUCGGCACCUUCUGUUGUGCAUGAGGAGCACAUGGCGCCCCUGCAUGGCCUCGGUUUCCGUGCUCAUGCACGGCCGAUCGACGUCCUGGCCCGGUCGCCUCUAGCUUCUGGGCUGCCUUCGCCAUCGUCGCGCCCUGCAACCCCGCCGACUGGGCCGGCCUCCUCGGUCCCCGCCUCGCCCAGGGCGUCGGGGCAGUCAUCACCAGGCCUGGCCUCGCCCGCCCCUGCCUCGCCCAGGGUGUCUGGGCCCUUCUCACCAGGGCCGGCCUCGCCUGCUCUCGCCUCACCAAGGCCGUCUGGGCCGGUGUCACCGGAGCUGGCCUCGCCCACUCUCGGUUCGCCCAUGGCCUCUGAGCCCCUGUCGUCGGGCCAGUCUUCGCCAUGCAGCCCGGAGUCGUCUGUCCCGAGCUCGCCUGAGGUGAUUCCUGCAUCUCCGGCGACCGUCACGUCUCCGUCACCUUCGCCUCCGCCGGCUCCUGCUGCUGCUCUACGUCCACAUACGCGCAGUCGGAGUGGCAUUUUUCAGCCUAAGCAACGUCACGAUGGCACAGUUGCUUGGUUAGCGGCGUGCAUGUCUGCUGCUCUCGCAGAUCCAUCCUCUGAGCCACGCACGUAUCAAGCUGCUAUGCGCAUUCCUCAUUGGAGAGAGGCCAUGGAGCAGGAGUAUCAAGCGCUUCUUCGCAAUCAGACAUGGACUCUUGUUCCUCCACAAUCACGGGUAAAUGUCAUUGAUUCCAAAUGGGUUUUCAAAGUGAAGAGGCAUUCUGAUGGGUCCAUUGAGCGCUAUAAGGCUCGUCUGGUUGCUCGUGGUUUUCGACAGCGUUUUGGACUUGACUAUGAAGACACCUUCAGUCCAGUGGUCAAGCCUACUACCAUCAGACUUCUUCUCUCUCUGGCUGUUACUCGAGGUUGGUUUCUUCGUCAGCUUGAUGUUCAAAAUGCUUUUCUUCAUGGUGUCUUGGCGGAGGAGGUUUACAUGCGCCAGCCUCCGGGUUUCUCUGAUCCGGAUCGCCCUGAUCAUCUCUGUCGUCUGUCCAAGACAAUUUAUGGUCUGAAGCAGGCUCCUCGUGCUUGGCAUGCUCGUCUUGCAAUGGCUCUUCGUGCUCAUGGUUUUGCAUCAUCAACUGCUGACUCCUCAUUGUUUCUUCUUCAAAGGCCUGAGGUUACUAUGUACUUGUUGGUCUAUGUAGAUGAUAUCAUUUUGGUCAGCUCCUCUCAGUCGGCUGCUACUGCGCUUGUUCGCUCACUUGGUGCUGAUUUUGCGGUCAAGGACCUUGGGAAGCUUCAUUACUUUCUUGGUGUGGAGGUUACUUCUCGUGAUGCUGGCCUUGUUAUGACGCAGAAGAAGUACUCUCUGGAUUUGUUGCAGCGAGCUGGGAUGCUUAAGUGCAAACCGACGACUACACCCAUGUCUACCACUGAUAAGCUCAAUGCUGUUGAUGGUGUGCUUCUUUCUUCUUCUGAUGCGACAGAGUACAGGAGUAUUGUUGGUGGGCUCCAGUACUUGACGAUCACGCGACCAGACAUUUCCUAUGCUGUUAACCGAGUCUGCCAGUAUCUGCAGUCACCCCGUGACACUCAUUGGUCUGCUGUUAAGCGGAUUUUGCGCUAUAUUCGUUUCACGGUGGCUCAUGGUUUGCAUAUUCAGCCGUCUGACUCUGGUUGUCUUUCAGCAUAUUCUGAUGCAGACUGGGCUGGCAAUCCGGAUGACAGGCGAUCCACGGGGGGUUAUGCUGUCUUCUUUGGCUCUAACCUGAUUUCCUGGAGUGCUCGGAAACAGGCUACUGUCUCGCGUAGCAGUACUGAGGCUGAGUAUAAGGCUGUGGCCAAUGCCACAUCAGAGAUCAUCUGGGUACAGUCCUUGCUUCAGGAGUUAAGUAUACCCCAAUCACAGCCUCCUGUUCUUUGGUGUGAUAACAUCGGUGCUACAUACCUUUCUGCAAAUCCGGUAUUCCAUGCCCGAACGAAACACAUUGAAGUUGACUAUCACUUUGUGCGUGAACGUGUCUCUCAGAAGCAACUACAGAUCAAGUUUAUUUCUUCCAAGGAUCAACUUGCUGAUAUCUUCACCAAGCCAUUGCCUUUGCCACAGUUUGAGACUUGCAGGCGCAAUCUUACCCUUCUAGAUUCAUUAGAAAGUGGCUAA